GACGAACGCUGGCGGCGUGCUUAACACAUGCAAGUCGAACGGUGAAGGUGGAGCUUGCCCCGCCGGAUCAGUGGCGAACGGGAGAGUAACACGUGGGCAACCUGCCCCUGACUUCGGGAUAACUCCUCGAAAGAGGUGAUAAUACCGGAUACGAAUCCUGCUGGCAUCUGCGGGAUUGGAAAGUUUUUCGGUUCAGGAUGGCCUCGCGGCCUAUCAGAUGGUUGGUGGGGUAGUGGUGCUCCAGGGCGACGACGGGUAGCCGGCCGCGGAGGGUAACCCGCCAGACUGGGACUGCUAGACGGCCCUGACACCUACUGCAGGAAAGUGUGGGGAAUAUUUGACGAUGCGCGCAGGCUUGAUGCAGCAGCGCCGCGUGAGAGAUGACGGCCUGCUGGUUGUAAACCUCUUUUAGUCGGGAAGGAGCGAAUGUGACGGUACCUGCAGAAAAAGCACCGGCUAACUACGUGCCAGCCGCCGCUGUAG
rnacentral:rRNA from 1 species